CAAACAUGAGUGUGAUCUGCGUCCUCAUCUGGACUCUCCUCUGCUGCUGCUUCACAGAGUCCAGAGGACAGGUCACAGUGACUCAGCCUGGAGCAGUGAGCUCCAAUGUGGGAGGAUCUGUCUCCAUCUCAUGUACAACCAGUCAUACGGUGGAUGAUAGAGUUGAUCUUUCUUGGUAUCAACAGAAAGAUGGAGAAACUCCUAAGCUACUACUUUACUAUAGUAGCAAUCAAGCAUCAGGAACUCCAAGUCGUUUUACAGGCAGUGGAUCAAACUCUGAUUUCACUCUGACCAUCAGUGGAGUUCAGGCUAAAGAUGCAGCAGUUUAUUACUGUAUGGGUGAAUUUUUCAACAAUGGUGGGUUGUUCACACAGUGAAAAACAGUCGUACAAAAACCUCCCUCAUUCAGACAGAACAGAAACUGAACUGAUACAGUCCAUUGAACACACAAACACACUUUCUUAGUCAUCCCCAUUUCUUUAAUUUAUUCACCGUAAAAACAAAAUCAGAUUUUAGAUCUCCUCUACCUUUUUACACAUGUUGGUUCACU